rnacentral:tRNA from 1 species
GUUGCAUUAGCCAAGUGGUUAAGGCAAGAGAAGUGUUAACUCUCUGAUCACGGGUUCGAAUCCUGUAUGCGACGCCA